UCUAAACAAAAUCCUUCUACCUGUCAGAUGUGGCCCACAGGCCAAAAGUGUUGGUUUCCUCUGGCUUGGAUGUGGACAGUGGAUGAGAGAAGCAGAUUUUAUUAUAGGAAAAAUGGGGCAUGAGAUGAUGGUUAUGCUCUAGGUCUCAGUUGAGUUCCUGGGAUGAUCAAGUGAGGGUCUUUAGCUGUGAGCAGGAAAGAAUUCAGGAGUGAGUCAUUAUAAAAUGAAAGCAGGUUUUUUAGAGAGAUACACACUCAGAGUAUGGACUGUCUCAAAAGGCAAGAGAGGCCCCAGGGUAUGGAGGUGGUUAGUUCCUAGUUAAAGAAUGGGAGGAUUAUUCCAACUGUCUUGGAGAGGGUGGAAAAGUUGAAGAAUUGGGACAACACUGAUGUUUUGACCCUGAAACUGUCAUGCAGCUUGUGGGUAUGUCAUUAAUUAAUGUAAUGCAGUGAGUGUAUACUGAGGCGUAAGGUCCACUGGAGAUCGAAUCUUCUGCCAUCUUGGGCCUGGCCGGUUUUAACUGGUUUUUGUUGUAACCUGUUCUCGGCAGUUGUGUCAUACUUUUAACAAUUGCCCCCUGUCUCCUUCCUUCCUGUCUCAAAUUGUUUAUAGUCAUCAGCCUCAGGAAGAGGCACAUACCUCUCUGGGUGAAUUCUGGCUUUGAGUUGGAAUGGAAGCAGGUAGGGUGUGGAGGCAGGUGACCACAUCCAGUCCACGCUCCCCAUCCUGCUGGGCAUACACGCAGCUGGCCUGGACAUGCGGUGUGGCCACAGCAUUGAGUUCUGGCCAGUGGACUCAGAUGGGAGGGAAAGGGAAAUCCCCCCACCAGGAGCUGCGGAUGUCAGAGAGAGAAACACAUUCCUGCUGAUAUGUGGCAGGGAGGGAGCCGGGAACAAAUGCCUCCUCUCUCUCAUUCCUUCACAUCCUCUUAGAUUCCCGGAUGAUGGCUCAUUGGCUGAGCCUCACCAGAAGCCAGAGGUAAGAGACGCUGAGUGGCAAUAUUUCACCAUAACUUACUCAGAAGGGACAUACAGAGAGGGACUUUCUUUCCUUUCUCAAAAUAAUCACGAAUCUAGAGUCACUCCUAACAAAGCUAAC
rnacentral:lncRNA from 1 species